CGAGAGCAGAUGGUAUGGACCAAUCACACGUUCCUCCAGAUCACGGGUUUUUGUUGAGAGGUAGAAUUUCUGCAUGUACUUGCAGGUAAAAUAUCCGACGAUUUGGAUUGUGGAACACACCGUAAACAUUACGCGCCUGAACAAUACUGAUAGUGAAACACUUUAAGAAACCAGAGAUUACUCCGAACGUAAACAUCAACGGGUUUAUUGCAUUCCCAUUUCUUACUCGAUAUAACAGUCGUCAAAGUGGAAUAAAAAAUUUCAAAAGAAAUUCAACAGAGCUCUCUAUUCAAAUCCAAAGAGAAUUGACUGAAGUAGAGGCUCAGUUCUGGGGGUUUG